UUAUUAACAGAUUUAAACCCAUAUUUUCUUUCAUAUUUAUUUUGCUUUCAUUAUGAUGAGUCACAUGCUGAUUCCAAAUAAAAGCAAGCUAUACCUUGAUUUAUAAUUAAUUCAUACAUUAAGCAAAUCUUGUCUUUUGGAUUUCAGAAUUAAUGGGCCUUAUUCAUCCUCUUUGAAGCCAUUAAAUAGAGAAAUAAGUUCAAUUUUUUUAUUAAUAAUCUUAGAACAAAUAUGUAAGCACCAUCCUAAGAUGAAACUUAACCUGCAUCUUAAGUUUUGAGGAUCUUUGGCUAUGAGUUCUAA
rnacentral:lncRNA from 1 species